rnacentral:rRNA from 1 species
UGCCACAGCCGGGGUAACGCGUAAGGUGCGAGGGUUGUUCGGAAUUAUUGGGCGUAAAGGGCUCGUAGGCGGGCUGCCAAGUCCCACGUGAAAGACCAGGGCUCAACCCUGGGAACGCGAGGGAAACUGGUAAGCUGGAAUCUUGGAGGGGGUACUGGAAUUCCUAGUGUAGGGGUGAAAUCUGUUGAUAUUAGGAAGAACACCGGAGGCGAAGGCGAGUACCUGGCCAAAGAUUGACGCUGAUGAGCGAAAGCGUGGGGAGCGAACAGGAUUAGAUA